rnacentral:rRNA from 1 species
UACGAGGGGUGCAAGCGUUGCUCGGAAUCAUUGGGCGUAAAGGGUAGGUAGGUGGUCUCAUUUGUCUGUGGUGAAAGCCUUGGGCCCAACCUGAGAAGUGCCGCGGAAACGGUGAGACUAGAGUACUGGAGAGGGUCGUGGAAUUCCCGGUGUAGCGGUGAAAUGCGUAGAGAUCGGGAGGAACACCAGUGGCGAAGGCGACACGCUGGGCCGUACCUGACACUGAUGCGCG